AUUGAACGCUGGCGGAAUGCUUUACACAUGCAAGUCGAACGGCAGCACGGGGCAACCUGGUGGCGAGUGGCGAACGGGUGAGUAAUACAUCGGAACGUGCCCAAUCGUGGGGGGAUAACGUAGCGAAAGUUACGCUAAUACCGCAUACGAUCUACGGAUGAAAGCGGGGGAUCGCAAGACCUCGCGCGAAUGGAGCGGCCGAUGUCAGAUUAGGUAGUUGGUGGGGUAAAGGCUCACCAAGCCAACGAUCUGUAGCUGGUCUGAGAGGACGACCAGCCACACUGGAACUGAGACACGGUCCAGACUCCUACGGGAGGCAGCAGUGGGGAAUUUUGGACAAUGGGCGCAAGCCUGAUCCAGCCAUUCCGCGUGCAGGAUGAAGGCCUCGGUUGUAACUAGCUUUGUACGGUAACGAAACGGACGAGCUCUAAUACAG
rnacentral:rRNA from 1 species